AGGAAGCGCUCGGUGGUGAAGUAGCGCAGGGUCGGCUUCGGGGCGCGCAAAGCGGUGAGGAAGACCUGCGGCGGCGGGAGGAGAGCUGUGGCCACCGCUGCGCGCCGGAGGACGCACCGCCCCCACUCCUGGAGUCCAGCCCGGCGCUCACCUCCGCCACCUCCUCAGGGUUCUGCGCCGCCUCGCGAAAGACUUGCUUGCUGUGGGCGAGGUAUUGGUAGAAGCGGUGGAAGGUGUGGAUGUCCGUGCGGUCCAGCACCUCCUCUGGGCUGCCCAACACCUUCUCCAUGAAGGCGGUGUGCACUGGGCCGCACUCGAUCAGGCUCAAGCUGCUGGCCGGAGAGCAACGAGUGGGAGGGGGCGGACGCCAGCCAGGCCCCAGUCCCAGCCCCAACCCCAGUCCCAGCCCCAACCACGUCCCGGCCCCCGACCGCGAGCAGCACCGCUGCGCUGGGAAGUGAGGCGGAAAGGGCGCUGGGGAUAACCAGAACAUUUGAAACGCGGGUUCCUGCCGGAGCAGCCCUCCCAAAUCCAUCUGAGGCUACAAGGGAGCCCUGGUGUCAGGAUUCGAAUCUAGCGGGGUCCCUGGCCGCUGUGUGACCUUGGGCCAGUCACCUAACCUCUCUGGGCUGGAGCUUCCCCAUAACAAUACCAACACUUCAGCAGCUAGGUCAGCAGGUGGCACAAUGCGUGCCAUGCGCCCAGCCCAAGUGCCUGGCACACAGCUAAUGUGAGCCGGGCAGAGAGGGCCAGGGAGAUCGCCCCAGAGCGGCUCCCGCAGGACAGGGUGCUCGGCGUCUCUAGGUCAGAGUUAAGAGGGUUCGGGGAACGGGGGUGUUGACUCACUGGACCCCAAAGGGCAGCAGCAGAACCGCCAGACUCUCGCAUAAGCCUUCGAGCGCGAACUUGCUGGCGCAAUAAACGUCAUUGAAAGGCAGCCCUUAGGUGGGGAGACGAGGUUCCUGAGGCGCAGCGGCCAGGGGGUCAUCCCCCGGCAGGCAGUGCCCCUCCAAGCUGAUUGCACCCCACCCCCUAAGGAGCCUGCCUUCAAGGCUCAGCUCUGCACACAAAGAAUCU
rnacentral:lncRNA from 1 species